rnacentral:rRNA from 1 species
GGGUCAGUAGGUUGGUCGUGCCACCGGUACGUACUGGUCUCACUGAUUCCUCCUUCCUGAGGAACCGUAAUGCCAUUAAUUUGGUGUUGCGGGGAAACAGGGCUGUUACUUUGAAAAAAUUAGAGUGUUUAAAGCAAGCUAACGCUUGAAUACAUUAGCAUGGAAUAAUGAAAUAGGACGAUCGAUCCUAUUUUGUUGGUUUCUAGGAUUGACGUA